AGCAGGAGUUCGUGAAGUAAGUCCUUAAAAUCACAUCUGUUCACCUUAUGUGACGGGAAGGAGAGGCGACUUCUGAAGCAGGGUGAUUGAAAUGGAAAUACAUUCAAAUAAAUGGACUCUGGGCUCCACUUUGUUCUAAAUAACCUCUACUUAUUUACUAUUGGAACAAAAGUCCAUGGUAGAUGAAAGGCAUUAUGUGUGGAGUCAAACGAUGGGGUUAAAAUGGUAGCAUCCUGCCUCACCAUAGAAGCACCUCCAGUUCUAAUGGAGAGAUAGAGACAAUCUUUCUUACACAAGGCUCAUGAUAGCAACAUCCAGCUGCUUUCUUCAUAAGAAGACUAGGAAAGUACGAUGAAAACUAUGUGGAGAAAUAUAAACUUAAAGAAAUGCUAAAUAGUCCUAUGCAAGUCUGGCCUCUUCAAAACCAGGAUGUGGUGUCUUGGGUCUGUCCUAGCGCUACUCUGAAACUUGCACUUGGUGGUGCACCCAGUACGUGGACAGGCUUCAUUUUUCAAGUUCCAGCUUACAACCCACCACCACUAUUUCUGAUGUCUCUAGCUCCCAGAAGUCUCUUCCUCCUUUUGAUUCCGAUGGUUGUGGUUAACCUGACUCCAGCAUUAUUCAUCUCAAGCUACAGGAAUGUUGAGCACUACUUCCCCUUCACCAAAACAAGAAAAAAAUACAGAUACUACAUGGCUCAUUACUUCAGGGUGAGAGGCUACUGCAUACAUGUGCAUCUGCUAAUGAAUCUGGACCUCCCCCAACAGACUGCCUAG
rnacentral:lncRNA from 12 species